GUUUGUUCUCAUUUACUGUGAUAGUAAGUGGGCAGGUGUCACCCUAUUGCACAAAUCAAGAUUUUGCAAAGGUAAAUCCCUGAAACAUUAGUUUUGCGAACAAACGCCACGUGACGCAGGUUUCCUGGGAAGAGAAUAUACUAGUAUGAUAAUUUGGUUGCAUAUUCAACACAUUCGUCCACCACAACGAAAGGAGAAAGGGGGAGUCAGCGAGUGCCGUCAUCAAAUAUGACCAUCAAGUUUUCAAAACUUUUGUCGUUGAAAUUGAAGGCAUCUGCUUCGAAACGAUUCUUGAGGCGCUAUUUCCAAAUGGUCAUUGCGUCCUUUGAUAGUUCCGACAUCAAGUCUUUGGCAAUAACUGGGCUCUAUAGCUGUGAGAGCAGGAAAUGGUGGAGUUAUCAUUGUAAUUCGGCCGAGUGGUAAUACAAUGUAUUAGAUCGCUAUCAAUUUGUUAAUUAACGAAGGGUUGCUUUUGAAUAUGUGUAA